UAUGUGCUCAAUCCCCGGGAGAGUCCGACCAUAAAUGACUAGACCCACUUAUCAUCAAAGUCUCAGCUACUUGUUUGGAGAAUGAGAUCAGUUUGAUAGAAGGAUUUCCACUGCAACUGCACCUUGAACUCGUUUGAAAGAUUGUACCAUGAUUCUAGCAUUCAUUACUUCGUUUAUUCUUAGAUCUUUUGGCAAAAUCGGAGCUUUUGGGAUAAUAUCAAUCCAAGCUGGAAUGAUUCUCGUUAUCAAAGGCAUGAGAGGUAGUCUUCGCAGGCCUUCCUUGAAU
rnacentral:lncRNA from 1 species